CAUCAUAGGUCUUACGGUAGUAGCUGCUGAUAUAUGCUUCUAAACCACUUCCUUGACCUCAAAUUGGAGUAUGCAAGCUUUUAUUUUGCCAGCCUACCCUGCAAUUUUGACUGGCCUACGGGAGGGCUCUGCUGGUACCUUGCAAAUGACAAUGUGAAGAAACUGGCAGGCUCAGAAAG